GUGCUAGCUUAGGCAGCAUAUAUACUAAAAUUGGAACAAUACAGGGAUCAGCAUGGCUCAUGCACAAGAAUGAUACACAAAUUCGUGAAGCUUCCAUAUUAAUA